AAAUUGAAUUAUCCUCCUUUAUACUUUCUUGGUCGCCGCUUUAAAGUAUGAAGCUAACAAUAAUUAACUAUAAAAUCUCGCUGGCACAGUGGUUAGUGUGUUGGCAUGUGGAGGCUUCAGCCAUCCAAUUCUUAUUCAGGUCUUUCAACAUUUUUUAAAAAUGCAUUUAAAAAGCGGUCAAGGUAACAUUCACAACGGUCCCCCUUCUUUCUCCCCAUCCCCUACCUAACAGGUCCAGACAAGUGACAGGAUCACAGCAUAUCGAGAAAGCUAAGAGCAAGCACUUGAGCUAAACAAAAACGAUUGUUAAAAAAUAUUUUUAAUCACAGAGAUUUAUUAUUGUGAGUCUAGAUCCACUCCAAAUUUAAUUAAAUAACCAAUCCAAACUAAUUAAUACAAUUACUUAAAUAAGUUGUUUUUUUUAAAUAUAUUUGUGAUAUUUUUCUCGUUGAGCCAAAACAUUCUUCAUAAAGUGAAAGUCAAAAACUCCACAAAAUGAAUCAUUUAUCUCAAGCUAAAAUUUCGCACCUAGAAGUUGAAAGAGCAUCCCUGUAAUGACGCUAAUUACGAAGGUUCGUCCAUGCU